AUUGAACGCUGGCGGCAGGCCUAACACAUGCAAGUCGAUCGGAGCGGCGGACGGGUGAGUAAUGCCUAGGAAUCUGCCUGGUAGUGGGGGAUAACGUCCGGAAACGUGCGCUAAUACCGCAUACUAUCAGAUCAGCCUAGGUCGGAUUAGCUAGUAGGUGGGGUAACGGCUUACCUAGGCGACGAUCCCUAGCUGGUCUGAGAGGAGGACCAGCCACACGGGAACUGAGACACGGUCCAGACGCCUACGGGAGGCAGCAGUGGGGAAUAGUGGACAAUGGGCGCAAGCCUGAUCCAGCCAUGCCGCGUGUGUGAAGAAGGUCUUCGGGUUGUAAAGCACUUUAAGUGGGGAGGCGGUACCAACAGAAUAAGCACCGGCUAACUUCGUGCCAGCAGCCGCGGUAAUAC
rnacentral:rRNA from 1 species